AUCCUGGUCGGACAUCAGGAGGUUAGUGCAAUGGCAUAAGCCAGCUUGACUGCGAGCGUGACGGCGCGAGCAGGUGCGAAAGCAGGUCAUAGUGAUCCGGUGGUUCUGAAUGGAAGGGCCAUCGCUCAACGGAUAAAAGGUACUCCGGGGAUAACAGGCUGAUACCGCCCAAGAGUUCAUAUCGACGGCGGUGUUUGGCACCUCGAUGUCGGCUCAUCACAUCCUGGGGCUGAAGUAGGUCCCAAGGGUAUGGCUGUUCGCCAUUUAAAGUGGUACGCGAGCUGGGUUUAGAACGUCGUGAGACAGUUCGGUCCCUAUCUGCCGUGGGCGCUGGAGAACUGAGGGGGGCUGCUCCUAGUACGAGAGGACCGGAGUGGACGCAUCACUGGUGUUCGGGUUGUCAUGCCAAUGGCACUGCCCGGUAGCUAAAUGCGGAAGAGAUAAGUGCUGAAAGCAUCUAAGCACGAAACUUGCCCCGAGAUGAGUUCUCCCUGACUCCUUGAGAGUCCUGAAGGAACGUUGAAG
rnacentral:rRNA from 1 species